GUGGGGAAUUUUGGACAAUGGGCGCAAGCCUGAUCCAGCAAUGCCGCGUGCAGGAAGAAGGCCUUCGGGUUGUAAACUGCUUUUGUACGGAACGAAAAGGCUCUGGUUAAUACCUGGGGCUCAUGACGGUACCGUAAGAAUAAGCACCGGCUAACUACGUGCCAGCAGCCGCGGUAAUACGUAGGGUGCAAGCGGUAAUCGGAAUUACUGGGCGUAAAGCGUGCGCAGGCGGGUUUGUAAGACAGACGUGAAAUCCCCGGGCUCAACCUGGGAAUGGCGUUUGUGACUGCAAAGCUGGAGUGCGGCAGAGGGGGAUGGAAUUCCGCGUGUAGCAGUGAAAUGCGUAGAUAUGCGGAGGAACACCGAUGGCGAAGGCAAUCCCCUGGGCCUGCACUGACGCUCAUGCACGAAAGCGUGGGGAGCAAACAGGAUUAGAUACCCUAGUAGUCC
rnacentral:rRNA from 1 species